rnacentral:lncRNA from 1 species
UUUGCCAAACUCCAUAUGACUUCAACAGUAAAUGGAAUGAGUUUUUGAAAAAGAAUCCUAGAUUAAUGUUGAGAAUUGUUUGAAUAUUCAUCAUUUGGACAUACCAUCCAUCCCAAUGACAUGUAUCUAAUUCAUUUCCUUUCCCAUUUGCUUUGUACCAAAAUAGAUCUUCAUUGAUUAUCUUUACCAUAAUUCACCUUGCAUUCUCUUAUUGUUUCACCCCUAGAAUGAAUUGAGAAAAUGCUUGAUUGCAU